GUGGUUGGUCUUCAUAUGACAGCUUCCUAAGUGAUGUGGAGCUGCCUUUAACCGCCACAGACAUUAAAGUUGGUUCUUGCCGACAGGGUCUGUCAAGGUUUCAGGCUGCCUGUGCGAUGGGACCAUACAUU
ensembl:scaRNA